AUCUCAUAGCUGCCUAUUAUUUCCUCUCAGAUAACUGAAGAAAAUAGAUCCAAAAUGCAACUUUCAAAGCAGGGAAAAACAGUGAAGAAAUGCAUUUUACAGCCACUGCCAUCUGAGUUAAAGAGGAUCACAAGGCAGGGCUCAGAAGGGACACUAGAUCAUUCAGAUGUGUAAGACUUCCAUACCUACACUGAUGAAUUAGAAGAAUCUACUAACAUCUCUCAAGAAGGAUCAUCAACACCUGCUACCAGGAUGAAUUAGUAGAAUUGCCAGCCAGUCCAACUAUUUUCUUACCAACACAUAAAACUUCUCCACUCAUUGCCGGCUCAUUGUCAACCCAUCUAAUUUACUACAGAUUUAACAUUGCCUUACAGUAACAUGUUGAAAAAUAUAUGCAAACUUCAAACUAAUACAUGACAAAGGAGUGACCUCAUUAAGAAUACCUUGCAUUGGAGAGUUUGCGUAACUUUAUCCCAACCUCCCAACCGUGCAUUUAGUCCAAUAAAAGAUAUUACCCACAAAUA